UACGUAGGGGGCAAGCGUUGUCCGGAUUUAUUGGGCGUAAAGAGCGUGUAGGCGGCUUGGUAGGUCUCGCGUCAAAACCUGAGGCUCAACCUCAGUUCGCGUGGGAAACCACCUAGCUAGAGUCCGGAAGAGGAGAACGGAAUUCCCAGUGUAGCGGUGAAAUGCGCAGAUAUUGGGAAGAACACCAGUGGCGAAGGCGGUUCUCUGGGACGGUACUGACGCUGAGGUGCGAAAGCGUGGGGAGCAAACGGG
rnacentral:rRNA from 1 species